UAUAGACUCGCAAAUCCCCUUCCCAUCUCCUCUCUCUCAUCUCCCUCCUGCUCGAUUCCUCGUGGCCGAGCGGCGACCGACCGACGAUCGAUUCGCAAGAUUUCUCUCUGGAGAGAGGUGGUGUUCUCGUGUCGUCCAACUUCCGGCCAAGUCCAUCGAUUUUGGGAGUGUCUACACAAAUUCCGCCCAAGUUCAUCGCGAGGAAUCAGUGUUGAUUUCGCUACGCAACCUUCUGCUACGAAUCGGUGGUGAUUUGGCCCGCAGAUGUACCAUUUGGUCACCAGGCGAUGUAGAAGUAGGAAGCAACUGGAUGCUUCUUCUACUUCCAGCAUGUUGAAAUCUUGCUACCAGAUGGAGGAAGGAGGAAGCAAGAAAGAACUGAUGUUCUUCCUCGGAUCAAUUUUAUACUUGCAGGGACGAUUUUCCGUUGGCACCAGUUCAUGUUAUUUUUUGACGGAUUUCGCUGGUCGGCAACAGUUCCUUCCUGUUAUUUUUUAUGGAUUUCGUUGGUUCAUAUGGUGGUCUUGUACAUCACGAUAUGGUAAUGUAUAUUUUGGUUCCUUUUUAUUUGAUGUCGGCAAUGAAGAAACGGGGAGAGAAUA